UAAUAGAAUAUUCCUCAACUUAGAUUUGAUUAAUAUUUUCUCAUGGUUAGAUUCAGGUUAUGCAUCCCUGGCUGGAAUACUACAUAAAUGAUGGUUUGUUGAUUUGUUCUUUUUGGGGGUAUUGCAAGGGACCAAGUAAUGUAAGGCUUCAUAAAGAGUUUGGAGUUUGUUAAAUGUAAUGCGGAGUCAUUAGAGAGUCUUAAAAACUAAAGUAUAUUUUAGAAAUGUCACUCUGGCAGCUAUAGAAAGGCAAAGUGGGCAGACGCAGACCAGACAAGAGACUAUUUUGUAGUUCCGGUACAGUAAGGUAUUUGUAAGGUAACUUAGAGGUAAUAAAGUAAUAAGGUAACUUAGAUUUGGAUGACAGUAAUGAAGCUGAUGAGACAGAUUCAACAGUGCUUUAUAAAAUUAACUUAUAUUACUAUUAUGAGUAAUUUAUACUUUAUUCCAACUGCAUUAGCAUACAUUUGAAAAAGUAAUAGCAGCAAAAUAAUAAGACAUUAUUCCAUGUUAGGGGCAGUGCUUAUUGGGCACAUGGAUUUGCAGUUCCUUUUCAACAAUUUCUUAGUUCUCAGGAGAUUGCAUACCCUUAGUACGUUUAUCUCAAACUACAACAGAUGCUCUUAUCCAGUAUGUUGUACUGCUUAUGACUUCAACAAGCAGUUCAGUCAGGAAAUGUUCUGUGAACACCUGCUGCUAGACAUGGAUCUAUGCUCUGAUACAGUGGUGAAACAAGUGCAUUUACAAAUAAAUAACAAUAUAAUUUUAGCUAGCGAAGGAUAAAUGUAAAUCAGUGAAGCGUGGUAAGGAAUGGAGAGUAAGGGAGGAGGGAGGCACGUGAUUCUUAAGCAGUCCUUGAGCAGAAUGAUACUGAAUGAUGAAAGUGAAAUGUGAGAUGAUGAGAGGCAGUAGCAAAAAUAGAGGCAUCAAGAAAGGUACAAGCUUAGAGAAUCAGGACUAGCAAGAAGACAUAGUCUGCCUGGCUCAUGAGCUAAGGGCAGGACAUGAGGCAGUUUAAUGUGUUAGAGGCAUGAAUUUACUAUGAAAAGAUUCUAGAUUCUGCGGGUUAUUUUUCCCAUAGGUAAUGUAAUCUUUAUGUAGACUCCCAGUUGUUGUACUGUUUUAUUAAAUGUUAGGUAUAUACAACGUUCUGUGAGUAGAGCUUUGUGUUCUGAAAAAGGUAAACAGUCUUCCUUCAGUUAAAUUUAUUUAAUACCUUUUGCUCUACGUAUAUUCACAAAACUUUAGAUGUAGUCUUUUAAACAAUAAUAAAAAGUAAUUAUUUUGUUAACUUAAGAAUUUUAGUAAGGAAAAAAUUUUGAGGCUGAAACAUCUGAUAGUGGUAUAAUGAAAACUUUUUGUUCUUUUAAACAACUUAAAACACUGUUUUUGUUUGGCAGUCUCAAGUUAAGCUUUCUGUAAAAAGUUUACCAAGGUAAAAUUCUUUGAGUCUCAAUAUUCGAGACUAAAACAAAUUAAGCAGAAUAGAUGAAACUUAAGUUAGCAUAAAAGGUAAGCAGAUUGGCAAUUAUAUGUAAUAGAUAUAAAUAAAAGUAUUCCAUUCAGCAUUAAGUGCUGAUAGAAUACAGGUAAGGAGAAAACAGUAACUAUAAGGAAUCAAAGUGCUGACAUUUAAGGAGACAAAUGUAUGAAAAUUUUCCUGAAGGCAAGACAUGUUAGAAUUGUGAAAAUGCUUUGUUCUGUAAGGAAAAGGAUGUAUGAAAGUGGGGAGGAAAUCUUUUCUUAAUGUAAUAUUAUGUUAUGGGAGAUUUGUGUCCAUAACAAUUUGACAGGUUGAAGAUUAAUUCUAUGUGGAAGUGUUGAGUCUUCAAAGAUAGUAUGUAAGAAUUGGACACCACAGCCUGCGUUCAGCCUUUCAUCGAUCUCAGGAACUCUUCUUCAUUUUCUCCUACUUUCAGUUCUCUUCCUAGAUUUCUAACAUCCUGACUAACUCAAUUUUCAGCUGACUUUUUUCCAGCCUAAUUAAAUUUUGAUGUUUCUUACUGAUCAUUUUCAGAUGAACUCUGCCACAGCUUUCUAUUGAUUGCAGAACUACUUUAUGAUCUAGUUCUCUAGUUAUAACAAAACUAACUCAUGUAGUGAUUGUCUAUUUUCAGUCAUUUUUCCUUUUUUCCUCUUUACUAAUCUUUCUGAAAAUAAUAUUUCUGAAGUAUAUUAUGCUUAUGUAUGCAAUAUUACUACAUGGUAAAACAGUAAAUUUGAGAUUAUGUACUUUCUAAAAUAAACGGGCUAACUAGAUUUUUACUUAGUAUUUAAAUGUGAUGUAAUUUGGUAGCUUUUUAAAGAAUUAAGAUACAAUACACAUACUGUGGCACUCACUUUUAAGAAGUUGUUUUAUGUUCAUUUUAAUAUACACGUGCUACCUUACUACAAUUGACAGAUUUUUAGAAAAUCUUCAAGGAUUCAGGAAUUUGUGAGCUGCUGUGCGUUGUUGGCAUUUACAGAAAUUAUUAGAUAUUUAGUUUUAAAGGUUUAGAAAUCUGGGAACAUUAAGUGGACCUCUUGAGCUACUUUAGCUCUGUUAGUGAUGUAUACCUAGGAUAUUUGACAAUUAACACUAGAGUCAGUAGAUGCUAGAGAUUGUUUAUAAUCACCUUUUUGUGUUUUGAGAAUUAGUGUCAUUACCAUCGUGUUCUACUUCUGAAUGAAGUCAGGUGACUGCAGUCAUUGUCUGCAUUUACAUUGUGACAUCUUUUUUUUUUUUCUUUUUUUUGAGAUGGAGUCUCGCUCUGUCACCAGGCUGGAGUGCAGUGACUUGAUCUCGACUCACUGCAACCUCCACCUCCGCGGUUCAAGCGAUUCUUCUGCCUCAACCUCCCGAGUAGCUGGGACUACAGGCGCGUGCCACCAUGCCCAGCUAAUUGUUUUAUUUUUAGUAGAGACGGGGUUUCACCGUCUAGGCCAGGAUGGUCUUGAUCUCUUGACCUCGUGAUCCACCUACCGUGCCCUCCCAAAGUGCUGAGAUUACAGGCGUGAGCCACCGCACCCAGCCUAUGUGACAUACAUCUUAAAAAUAUUGUUUGGUAGGCUUUGAGUAUAGAAUAUACAUGCUUAUGAUCAUAAUAAUGUGUUUUUAGCAUUUCAGCAGGAACUUGAUGCAAGGCAUGACAAAUAUGAGAGACUUGUGAAACUUAGUCGGGAUGUAACUGUUGAAAGUAAAAGGACAAUUUUUCUCCUCCAUAGGAUUACAAGUGCUCCUGAUAUGGAAGAUAUAUUGACUGAAUCAGAAAUUAAAUUGGAUGGUGUCAGACAAAAGAUAUUCCAGGUAGCCCAAGAGCUAUCAGGGGAAGAUAUGCAUCAGUUCCAUCGAGCCAUUACUACAGGACUACAGGAAUAUGUGGAAGCUGUCUCUUUUCAACACUUCAUCAAAACACGAUCAUUAAUUAGUAUGGAUGAAAUUAAUAAACAAUUGAUAUUUACGACUGAAGACAAUGGGAAAGAAAAUAAAACUAUGAGGAAACUGAGGUUUAGAGAGAUGAAAUAACUUGCCCAAGGGCAUACACCUUAUGAAGCAAGGUCCUGGAAGAGGUGGGAGGAGAUGGGUCAAGGUCAUUUGGAAGAGUUAACCUCAAACAAGAGGAGGGACAACUCAUCAUCUGAGACUGGAGGAUAGAAGCCCUCCUCUGAUGCACAGGAUAAGCAGUUUGGUACUUGGAGACUGAGAGUCACACCUGUCGAUUACCUACUGGGAGUGGCUGACUUAACUGGAGAAUUGAUGCGGAUGUGUAUUAACAGUGUGGGGAAUGGGGACAUUGAUACCCCCUUUGAAGUGAGCCAGUUUUUACGUCAGGUUUAUGAUGGGUUUUCAUUCAUUGGCAACACUGGACCUUACGAGGUUUCUAAGAAGCUGUAUACCUUGAAACAAAGUUUGGCCAAAGUGGAGAAUGCUUGUUAUGCCUUGAAAGUCAGAGGGUCAGAAAUUCCAAAACAUAUGUUGGCAGAUGUGUUUUCAGUUAAAACAGAAAUGAUAGAUCAAGAAGAGGGCAUUUCUUAGAAUCUAACAUUACUCAGUUACUAAUUCUUUUGAGAACUCCUAAGAGACCAAUUUGUAAGACUUAUUUAGUAUUUCAUUUAACUUUAUUGUGGCUUUUACAUAGAAACAUAUUCAGUUGUACUUGUUUUAAAUUGUAUACAAGCUGUACAUAAAAUUAGCCAAAUGAAUCAUUUGUUAUAUCUUAUUCAUGAAAGUUUGCAUACAGAUGUUUGCAUAUAUGCCUUUUUGAAUUUUUGCUGGUUAACCUUUAUCAUUUAUCUUUGUAAUGUGAACAUGCUUCAGAGUGUACCUUUUGCCAUAACCUAUUUUAAUUUACUUUUUCUGAAGUUUGGAGUGAUAAUUUUUAGUGGAAGCAAUUUGUAAUUUAAGUUGGUGGUUUUAUUAUAUAUAGAAAAUAUUUUUUAGUUAAACUUCUGGACUUGAGCGUCCUGUUUAAAUUUCUUGUUAAUAUUGUGCCAAGCCUCAAAAAUAGGCUUAUUCCAUGGAACAAGAAUUAAAAAUGAAUAAGCUAUCAAUAUAUAAUUUAAGUACAAGUUUAGGCUGGGCGUGGUGGCUCACGCCUGUAAUCCCAGCACUUUGGGAGGCCGAGGUAGGCAGAUCACGAGGUCAAGAGAUCAAGACCAGCCUGACCAACGUGGUGAAACCUCUUCUCUACUAAAAAUACAAAAAUUAGCUGGAUGUGGUGGUAUGUGCCUGUAAUCGCAGCUACUUGGGAGGCUGAGGCAGGAGAAUCGCUUGAACCCGGGAGGCAGAGGUUGCAGUGAGCCAAGAUUGCGCCACUGCACUCCAGCCUGGGUAACAGAGCAAGACUCCAUCUCAAAAAAAAAAAAAAAAAAGAAAAAAGAAAGUACAAGUUUAUAAAGUAUUAUAGUGAAAAAUUCACAUUCUGGCUGAUUGUAGGCCAUUUAAAAUUUAUAUAAAACAACCUUCCAUAAAAAUUUGACAGGUGCCCAGAUGUUACUUUCUCCAUUUAUUAUUAUUAUUUUUUUAAUCACAGAAGGUCUGAUAGAGAAUUGGAGCUAAAUUAUAAUAUUUUUGUUGGUAAAGUUGAGUUAUGUACUUGUACAUACAAUGGAAAUGCUUUUAGUAGUGAUUAUUUAGCAAUUUUUGUUUUUGUUAUAUUAGGCAUGUUUGGAGGCUUUCCUAUUCUAGCAUUUAAAUUUAAAUUUUAUUAAAAUUAAAUAAUUUAAAUCUAGCAUUUAAAUUUAAAUAAUUUAAGUCUAGCAUUUACAUUUAAAUAAUUAUAAUGAAGUUUUGAAAUACUAAGUUAAUCCAGACCUUUAGUUGUCCCGUGGUGUUAAUAAAGUUGCCAAAGAAAAUGUAUUAUGAACAAUUCAGCAAUAAGACAAUUGUCAACACAGUUGAGAAUAACAAUGGUAAUCGUUAGUAAUAUUUAGAAUUGGAAUUUGCCUACUGAAAUAGUUAGAGAUGAUUACUUGUGAUGUGAAACUGAAUUGAGCAUGACAACCAGACAUUUCCAGUUGGUUUUGUAAGUUUUGAGAAUCUAGAUACUGGGUUUUAUUUUUUGAAAGAUUAGCUCUGUUUGUAAGGGCUGAUUCCUUGAAAAUGUAAUUUUCCAGAAAAACACCUAAAGAAAAUAAAACAUGGACAUGCCUAGUAAA
rnacentral:sRNA from 1 species